GGGGCAGCGGAACGCGCAGAGGGCACGGUGCAAGCACGGGACAGCUCUGCAUUGGCCAAAGGGAUCCCAGGAGGCCUGGCCCUCUUUUCUCCUGAGGCUGGAUCCCAACCAGCAGGAAAAGGCUGGAUUUUCGCCUUUUGUAUUUGUUUUGGGGCCCAACCAAGAAAAACAGUGGAGGGGGAAUAAAACAUGUUUAAAUCUUUUUUUUGUCUUAAAACCAUCUUUAAUUUCACAGUCACAAAAUAAAACAUAACUCGAAUGUUUUGAUGUUUGCAGUGACAUCGAUUGUGAAAAAGGCAGGCUCACCCGAGAUCCCCGCCCCGAACCCCCCCUGCACACUCGGCCCAGCGCUGUUGCCCCCGGAGCGGACGUUUCUGCAGCUAUUCUGAGCACACCUUGACGUCGGCUGAGGGAGCGGGACAGGGUCAGCGGCGAAGGAGGCAGGCCCCGCGCGGGGAUCUCGGAAGCCCUGCGGUGCAUCAUGAAGUUCCAGUACAAGGAGGACCAUCCCUUUGAGUAUCGGAAAAAGGAAGGAGAAAAGAUCCGGAAGAAAUAUCCGGACAGGGUCCCCGCUCCGGGGCUUGUGUGGGGACAGCCAGCCUCCUCGUGUUGAUUUCUGAUCACCUGGUACCUGGUCGCGAUAAGGCAGGACUGAGACGUUUUUUCUCCGUUUUGGACACCGGCUUAAGUAGUUAAAACUACCGCAGGCAGCUGCGCAGCCGAAUUGGAGGGCAGAAUAUGGCUUAAGUGGUAGGGGGAC
rnacentral:lncRNA from 1 species